UUUGUACUCCCUCCGUUCGAAAUUACUUGUCACAAGAAUGGAUGCAUCUACAACUAAAAUACAUCUAGAUACAUUCAUUUCUUCGACAAGUAAUUUCGAACGAAGGGAGUACAAU
rfam:Triticum aestivum genome assembly, contig: Triticum_aestivum_CS42_TGACv1_scaffold_146602_2BS